GUCCCGUCGAUACACAGAGAGUGUGGCUGUUUGAGAAGUGGGUGAACCAGCCGUCGGCACGGCAGUCUACCUUCAUGGCGACCGUACUCGUGCCGCCAGGGUUCGACGACAUCGGUCACGUGAUCGUCGACUGCAGCGUGCAGUUUUGCGCCGGCGCGUGUCCGACGCCAAAGUGCGAUGUCGGAGGCGGGUGGACCUCCGGUCGACCGUCAUCAUAGGACGACGACAAACAUGGCGCCGCCGUGGCUUCACACCGGCUAGAGGGGGUGACGAUGAUGAUGACGACGUUGACGAUGCCUGUGCCAGCCUCCGGACUAUACAUAGUGAUUUAUGUAAACAAGAUUUCCUGAUCAUAUAUCGACGAUUGUUGCAUCAAAUACUUGCUCAAUAACUACUUUUACCAUAGUUAUUUAUAAAUGAAAGUCGUUGGAUGGAUAAUAAUUAAUUCAUGGAUAGACUUUAAUGUGAAAAUUAAUCCAUUCACUACAGAUUGUAUUAUAAAAUAGAUGUAUUGGAUGAGUUAAGUUGCGAUUAUAAACUGGUUGAGGGAGUGGGAAUUCAUAAAGUUAUAAUACAUAUGUAAAUAUUAUGUAAAAUAAAUGUACAAGAAUAAAAUGUGCGGUUUCGUACAUAUGGUAGGGA